AAAGUGGUCUUUAUAAUUCAAGAAUUAAGGGGCCAGGCUGAAGUACAGACAAUACUACAACAGCAGAUGGAGAAAAUGACCUUUUUAAAAUCACAAUUGGAGAGAAUGGACACUAUAAAAUCAAAAGUGCUAUUUUUGAUUCAACAAUUCAGGGGGCAGGCUGGGGACAUGUUUAGUGGUGCUGGAGAUCAAACUUUAACACAAGUGCAACAAAGAUCCUCUUCUGCAGGUCAGGAAUUGUGACCUUGCGGUGGGAAUGAGAUUUUUUUUUCUUAAAGUUGGGAAAUUAUGGUCUUGAUUUGACACACUAAAAUUUGUGAUUGACAUGAAAGGUAUUGUUUUGUAUGUUUUGAAGUAGAUGAAAAAAAUAUUAGUCUUCUAUGAAUUUAGUAAAUUAUGUAUUAUGAAAGGAUAUUCUUUUA